GGACCUGACUGCUAUCGGAUUGCUUCUAAGCCAUGUGAGUCUUUGUAGCAAUACAAGGCAUACGGCUCAGUAACACGUAGUCAAUCUAACCUAUGGACGGGGAUAACCUCGGGAAACUGAGAAUAAUACCCGAUAGAUCAUUAUGCCUGGAAUGGUUUAUGGUUCAAAUGAUUCGUUCGCCGUAGGAUGGGACUGCGACCUAUCAGUUUGUUGGUGAGGUAAUGGCCCACCAAGACUAUUACAGGUACGGGCUCUGAGAGGAGAAGCCCGGAGAUGGGUACUGAGACACGGACCCAGGCCCUAUGGGGCGCAGCAGGCGAGAAAACUUUGCAAUGUGCGAAAGCACGACAAGGUUAAUCCGAGUGGUUCCUGCUAAAGGAACCUUUUGUUAGUCGUAAAACCACUGAUGAAUAAGGGGUGGGCAAGUUCUGGUGUCAGCC
rnacentral:rRNA from 1 species